GACGAACGCUGGCGGCGUGCUUAACACAUGCAAGUCGAACGGAAGUAAAGAUUUCGGUUUUUACUUUAGUGGCGAACGGGUGAGUAACGCGUGAGGAACCUGCCUUUCAGUGGGGGACAACAGUUGGAAACGACUGCUAAUACCGCAUGAUACUAUUGAGUGGCAUCACUUGAUAGUCAAAGAUUUAUUGCUGAAAGAUGGCCUCGCGUCUGAUUAGCUAGUUGGUGGGGUAACGGCCCACCAAGGCGACGAUCAGUAGCCGGACUGAGAGGUUGACCGGCCACAUUGGGACUGAGAUACGGCCCAG
rnacentral:rRNA from 1 species